AAUAUAGCAAAAUAUAAAAAUAAAUAAACAACGUACUUUCUAAAAAAUAUCUUGACGACAGAAAAGGAAACUAAAGUUUUCGUCACUGCAUCGUCAUCGAAUUCUCCGAGAAGGUUCCGGUGGUCGACGACAAACGGUGAUGACAUGGAUGAUGGUAGCUCAAGCUCAAUCAACUGUUAACACCAUUAAUUUGGAUGGAAGCAAGCUUGAGAAAGAUGUCACAAAAGGCACUUUAAUUUGUGCAAGCACCAUGAAUCUAUCAUUGCUUCAACAAAUCAAUUGUAUCUUCAGCCAAAGGUGAGUAUAACCUUCUCAUUCUCCAUCAUGAAAUAAAGAAAUCAUGAGUCUGCUUCUCUCUUUCGCUUAACAGAUUGAGCUUAAAAGAGCUGAUACCACUGUUCAGGACAGAGAUAUACCAGAUCCACGAUAUUAUCUGCUCAUUUGUAUUAGUGUGAAGCCUUGCUCUUUAAAAAAUUAGUGACCAUGAUGUAAUUUUUUAAAUGCCCACACAAGUGUUUUAGUGGUUUGAGUAUGGCCUUAUAUGUCAAAUUAUUGCUAUGUGUGGAACUGUUUGUAACAACAUUGUCUGGGAAUGAAGCAUUAAGGAUAUCAUCAGUCAUUGUGGUCUUUCAAGGUCGGUGUUCAAGGUAAUUUCUGUUAUCUUUCUUGUUUUUCGUUGCUAUGUUAGUGAAGGAUUAUGUUACUUUACAUUAUAACUAUUUGGCUUCUUUGUUUGGUGAAAGAUGAUGUUUAAUCUUUCGUCUUUACUAAAAAGAGCAAACUAUUAUUGAUAGCAAUGAAAUACACCUGCUUUCACAUCCUCAAUAGGGACUAUUUGGGAGAAUGUACAUGAUAUAUGUAUAUAUCUUGCUCGUAGAAAAGAGGAAUAUAUAGCCAACUUUGUCCAUUUACAUUUCUGUUUGCUCCCUGCACUUUGUUUUCAAUACCUUUUCAAGUCACCUUUAGCUUUCGUUAGCAUUCUGAUCUAUUGUGAUAUGUCGAGGUUCCAAUUGAUCAUUUCUAUUUGGUAAGCAGUUUUAAUUUGUAGAAACUUGAUUUAAUUGCUGGAGUAGCUCUAGUAUAUUGAGUACCAUAAGAAUAUUGGCACUUUGUCCACUUUUCUUGACAUUGGUUUGAACUUUUGAUUAUCAACUAUAUUGCUCGGAAUCUUCAAAAAUGUUGCCGGCUACAUGUCAGGUCCUUCAAAAGCAUCACAAUUUUAGAGGAUCCGACACCGGUGUCGCAAUAUUAUUGGAUAGGAUGAUCAACAUAGGUUUUCCACAUUAGUUUAUAGCAUGUUAUGGUUGAGACAUCUCGCUUCUCUAGAUCUUCGAAGCUAAACAAUUUAAGUUAUUAUCUUAUUAUAAGUUGUAGUAUUAUGUUGAUCCUCUAUUUGUAAGUAUGUAGGGUUAUAAACAAUGGGUUGUAGUAGUGCAAUUUCUGGAAGUGCACACUUUUAUUUACUAAAUUAUAUUAUCCGAAUACCUUAUGUAAUAGAUUUUGCUUAAAUUUCUCAAAUACAUGCUGAAACCAUUCUAAUAUUGUGGUCAUCAGAUGACUUCUUCUGUAAAAUACAUAGUACAACAAUAUGUAGCAGCUAGCGGAGGGCAGACUGCAUUAAAUUCAAUCAAUAGCAUGUACGCGGUAGGGCAAUCACAGAUGCCAAUGUCAGACAUUCAGCAAAGUGGUAACCAAAUGAACUCCAAAAGGACAUGUGAGGAUGGAGGAUUUGUUCUUUGGCAAAAGAACUCUGAUCUGUGGUUCCUAGAAUUGGUCAUUUCCGAUUGCAACAUCGAUGCUGGUAGUUACAGUAGCUUGGAGUCACUCUUCCACCAAUUCUAAUGCUUCAAAAAGUCCUCCAAGACCACUCAGGAGGUUCUUUCAGGAGAAUGAGUUACACUAUAGUUGUAUGUACAAUUAUUUUCCAAGUGUUCGUGAAGAGUUUUAGUGGAGUACCAGCAGAUGAGCGUCUGCAUUGGAGAUCAUUCUUAGUUAUUCUAAGGUGCGGGGAACCUUAAAAGGAUCAAGAAUGAAGAAUCCCAGUGGCUUGCCACAAGUAUGUAAAUUUGUUUUUGUUGUUACUUGGACUAACAUUGCUGGCCAAUGGUUAUAACAUAUAAUUAACAACAACAGUUGGUCGUAGAAGGGAGAGGUAGUGUGUCACUGAGAGGAACUCUCUGUUGAUGUGCUAGACUGGUUGCUUCGAAGUUUCACCCUUUGUCUGUAGUGUUUGGAAUUGUAUUUAUAUCAAUUGGCUUGUUGCUUCUGGAAAAUACUCUCCUUUCAUCUGAACCUUAAGACAGAUUCUUGUCGUAAAUGGUGGUUUGCUAAUAAUUUGGUUUGUUUUCGCUACAAUUCUUUUAUCUAUAGUAUUCUCACAUACUUUUUAUAUACCUUUUUGAAACUAACAAAUACUUUUAUAUAUCUGUAGGUCUGUUUACAUCGUAUAUACAGUACUUAGAGAUGUCAGCAUCUAUGUUGUAGGAAAGGAUGAGUAGGAUGAACUUGCGUGCUUUAAACUUGAUUUUGCUUGCUUCGCCUGUGUUGUCUGACCUUCGGGAUCAUCUUAAACAAUCACUGGUCAAAGAUGCUGAGAGAGACUUGUUUCUUUCUUUGUACGCAUCUUGGUUCCAUUCACCAAUGGCAAUGAUAAGCCUCUGCCCGUUAGCUUAGGCACAUCCUGAAGUUAUACUUGCUAAUGGAAUAGCUACAAAAGAGAUAUAUGAACAUGACCUUGCUUACCUAAAGAAAAAGGUUGUUGCUGGAGCCGAUCUUGUUAUGACUUAGCUCUUCUAUGAUAUUGAUAUUUUCCUUAAAUUUGUCAAUGAUUGCCGCCAAAUUAAAAUUAAUUGUCCCAUUGUUUUAGGUAUUAUUGAUAUGAGUCAAAUGACCAUUAUAACUUUUGAAGACAUCAUUCGAGGCCAACACACGAAGGAUCUGGUUAUGAUCACAUUGAGGGGAAGAGAGCAUACAUGGAGAGGCCAUUUUGAUCAUUCCAUAAGGCAAAGUCGUGUGUGGAAGGUGGCUUAGGGGUUCCUUGAAGAGCCUCGAUAUCAGUAUUGUAUAUAGACUGUAUCAGUAUUGUAUAUGGACUACGUAAACCAGAAUAACCCAAAUUAGGAAAUGGCUAUAAAGCGAAAAUAGUAUAUCCGACUUGCCACUUUUUGAAAGUUUUCAAA